rnacentral:ncRNA from 1 species
AACUAAUAACAUGGGAGCCUGCGGAAGCAAGCUGAGAGUACGACUAAUCCGUCGUAGACCGUUCGAACCUGUUGGGUAAUGCCAGCGUAGGGAGAUCGUGAUCCACAUAG